UCAGACAUUGUGUGAUAGAAAUAUAUUUCUGGGACAAGAAAAAUAACUACAAACUCCGAAUUUAUGUUUUCAGCAUAAGUCCUGACACCUCUGAAAAUCAUAUGUAAAAAGCAUUAAAUUAAAUCCAUCUUGUAUUGCAGAGAUAUAGUUUCAUACUGAAGAAUUGAAAAGCGAAAAACUAAGUUUAAAUUUUAAUCGUGACAUUUAUCCUCUGUGAGCCAAGACAAAGAAAAGAUAUGCCAUUCAAAUAUUUUGGGCUAAUAUGUGUUGAUUUUCAUUGUCAGGAAAUCCUGGCAAAAAAAAAAAAAAAAAAAAAAACAAAAAGAAAAAAACACGUAAAAGGAGUCUACCUGAACAGGAUACCGUCUAUAAAAUUCAUAAUUUGUCUGUUUUGCUCACUUCCUCCAUCAGCUUCAUCCACCUUCCAGGUUUAGACUCAUUAAUACUUAGGUUUUUGUAAGUUUCCCUUCACUGAAGUUGAAGGGAAACUUACAAAAACCUUUUAAAGAAAACCUUUUAAGUGCUUAUUUUGAAAUCAAAAAUAGAUUUUUAAACAGAUGCCAAAGACUCUUUGAGUUGUGGUUAAGAUGAGCUGUCUAUUAUUUCUGUCUUUAUCCUCAAAACCACCAGUCUUCUUGGGAGUUUUAUUUUACACUGGUUCCACAAACCUAUUAUAAUAUAGUUCUGUUUGCUGUCAACACCAGCAUUAGUGUCAAUCUUUUAGCAAGUUGCUAUCUCAGACGGUCUAUUGCCAACCCCCAUGUGUGUCAUCAGUGCAAAACCAAAGCACUAACAGUGCAACUUUCCUGUUUUCAGAGGAAGCGUGUCUCACAGCAAAGGCGUCUGGACAAUGGAUGAGGUGGAGUAACUACUUCUCCAUAUUUAAGAUUUGGGCGUCAAACCUAUGGUUCUGCUGAAAACUUUGCUUUGAGAUUUCCUCACUAAAAGUGCAACAAAAUCCUACUGACUAUUUUGCAGCCUUAAUCUACUUGUAAUCUAGUCUUAAUUGUCUGGAAAGAUAUGCAAGAA